AUUAUAUUUAAUAUAAUUAUAUUAAAUUUAUAUUUUAAAUUAUUUGUAUCUUAUAUAUAUUACAUCUAUAAUAUAUAUAAUUAUAUAUUAUAUUAAUUAUUUUAUUUUAAAUUUUAUAUUUUAAAUUAUAAUUAUAUAUAAUAGUAUUAGUAUUAGUAUUAGUAUUAGUAUUAGUAUUAGUAUUAGUAUUAGUGUGGGACAAGAGAAAAACCGCUCUCAGAACAUCCUUGUCGCUGUUUUGAGAAUUAAAAUCUUAUUUUCACACCAACCCUCGGGAGAGCAAAGGUUCCCUGGGGAAUCUGAGCAUCCCCUGGGAGCCUGGAGCUCUCUGAGGCUCAGGGAAUCCCAUCCCCCUGUCCCGUGUCCCUUGUCCUGUGUCCCAUGUCCUGUGUCCCAUCCCCGUGUCCUGUGUCCCGUCCCCGUGUCCUGUGUCCCGUGUCCCAUGUCCUGUGUCCCAUCCCCAUGUUCUGUGUCCCGUGUCCCAUGUCCUGUGUCCCAUCCCUGUGUCCUGUGUCCCAUGUCCCUUAUCCCAUCCCUGUGUCCCAUGUCCCAUCCCUGUGUCCCAUCCCUCUGUCCCAUGUCCUGUGUCCCAUCCCCAUGUCCUGUGUCCCGUGUCCCAUGUCCUGUGUCCCAUCCCUGUGCCCUGUGUCCCAUGUCUUGUGUCCCAUGUCCCAUAUCCCAUCCCUGUGUCCUAUCCCCGUGUCCCGUGUCCUGUGUCCCAUCUCUGUGUCCCAUGUCCCAUUCCCAUGUCCUGUGUCCCUUGUCACAUCCCUGUGUCCCAUCCCCAUGUCCCAUCCCCAUGUCCCAUGUCCCUUGUCCCAUCCCUGUGUCCCAUCCCUGUGUCCCAUCCCUGUGUCCCAUCCCCAUGUCCCAUGUCCCAUGUCCCAUGUCCCAUCCCCAUGUCCCGUGUCCCAUCCCCAUGUCCCAUGUCCCAUGUCCCAUCCCCAUGUCCCGUGUCCCAUCCCCAUGUCCCAUGUCCCAUCCCCAUGUCCCAUUCCCAUGUCCCAUCCCCAUGUCCCGUGUCCCCGUGGCUGCAGGAGGACAACCACAGCUAUUACGUGUCGCGGAUCUACGGCCCCGGGGACGCGCGGCGCGGGCGGCUCUGGGUGGACAUGGCAGCGGCCAACGGGAGCCGAGCUCGGAUCCACGGGAUCCUCUCCAACACGCACCGGCAGGCCUCGAGGAUCGUCCUGUCCUUCGAUUUCCCGUUCUACGGCCACCUCCUGCGGCAGGUCACCAUCGCCACGGGCGGUGAGCAGGGACCCGGCACGGCCGGGAGAGCGGGACGGGAUAACAGGAUGGGAUAAUGGGAUGGGAUAAUGGGAUGGGAUCCAUGGGAUGGGAUAACGGGAUGGGAUAACAGGAUGGGAUAGUGGGAUAGGAUAACGGGACGGGAUCCAUGGGAUGGGGUAAUGGGAUGGGAUAAUGGGAUGGGAUAAUGGGAUGGGAUCCAUGGGAUGGGAUAACGGGAUGGGAUAACGGGACGGGAUAACGGGAUGGGAUAACGGGAUGGGAUAACGGGAUGGGAUAACGGGACGGGAUAACAGGAUGGGAUAGUGGGAUAGGAUAACGGGACGGGAUCCAUGGGAUGGGAUAAUGGGAUGGGAUAAUGGGAUGGGAUCCAUGGGAUGGGAUAACGGGAUGGGAUAGUG
ensembl:lncRNA